rnacentral:rRNA from 1 species
CCUACGGGAGGCAGCAGUGAGGAAUAUUGGUCAAUGGCCGGAAGGCUGAACCAGCCAUGCCGCGUGAAGGUCAGUGCCCUAUGGGCGUUAAACUUCUUUUGUGCGGGAGCAAUAAUGGUCACGUGUGGCCAGACGAGAGUACCGUACGAAUAAGCAUCGGCUAACUCCGUGCCAGCAGCCGCGGUAAUACGGGGGAUGCAAGCGUUAUCCGGAUUUAUUGGGUUUAAAGGGUGCGUAGGCUGUGAGGUAAGUCAGCGGUGAAAUGCCCCCGCUCAACGGGGUGAAGUGCCAUUGAUACUGCCUGGCUGGAAUGCGGAGGCGGUGGGAGGAAUGUGUGGUGUAGCGGUGAAAUGCAUAGAUAUCACACAGAACACCGAUUGCGAAGGCAUCUCACGAAUCCGCGAUUGACGCUGAUGCACGAAAGCGUGGGUAUCAAACAGGAUUAGAUACCCUGGUAGUC